rnacentral:rRNA from 1 species
UACGUAGGGUGCGAGCGUUGUCCGGAAUUAUUGGGCGUAAAGAGCUUGUAGGCGGUUUGUCGCGUCUGCUGUGAAAAUCCGGGGCUCAACCCCGGACUUGCAGUGGGUACGGGCAGACUAGAGUGUGGUAGGGGAGACUGGAAUUCCUGGUGUAGCGGUGGAAUGCGCAGAUAUCAGGAGGAACACCGAUGGCGAAGGCAGGUCUCUGGGCCACUACUGACGCUGAGAAGCGAAAGCAUGGAGAGCGAACAGG